rnacentral:rRNA from 1 species
AAAUUGAAGAGUUUGAUCAUGGCUCAGAUUGAACGCUGGCGGCAGGCCUAACACAUGCAAGUCGAACGGUAGCACAGAGAGCUUGCUCUCGGGUGACGAGUGGCGGACGGGUGAGUAAUGUCUGGGAAACUGCCUGAUGGAGGGGGAUAACUACUGGAAACGGUGGCUAAUACCGCAUAACGUCGCAAGACCAAAGAGGGGGACCUUCGGGCCUCUUGCCAUCAGAUGUGCCCAGAUGGGAUUAGCUAGUUGGUGAGGUAACGGCUCACCAAGGCGACGAUCCCUAGCUGGUCUGAGAGGAUGACCAGCCACACUGGAACUGAGAC